CGUGUAGAUCCGGCAACGUAAAGAUCUACUCCGGCGUUGCACGGCCCUGCCCCGGUCAUCUGCCCACGACGCAGCAGGUGGAGGUCGCCGUGGAACCCGGCUUCUACGACGCCCAGCUCCAAGCUCGUCUCGCCCGCCGCCGGACGACCUCGCCAAGCCGCACGCGACGCGACGCCUGCGACGACCGAGCCACACUCGUGCGCAGCAGGUGGAGGACUAGGUCGCCGCGGAACCCAGCUUCUACGACGCCCAGCUCCAAGCUCGUCUCACCCGCCGCCGGACGACCUCGCCAAGCCGCACGCGACGCGACGCCUGCGACCCCUACACCGGCCUCUGGAACUGGUCCAUGUCCGUCCCUUGCUCCCCUCCUCUUAUCUGUCUCUCUAUUUCUUUUGUUCAGAAAGUCUAUGCUUUGUUACUUGGUUCUCAUGUGGGAUAGGAUGCAAGAGUUUUAAUUUGGUAGUGAUUUGUUACUGCUUGUUAAGUGCUACUAAUUUUGUCUGAAUCAUGCGCUUCUGAAUCCUAGAUAGAUAGUAUUGUUUCAGCACCUGCAUUUUGUAUUGAUCUGAACCUGCAUAAAUUUCUUAUUGAAGUGGACAACACGAUGGCUUGUGACAGUGGAUCCAACAAUGCAGAUAGCAGAGCAUAUCUCCAUGCAUCAAAAGCUUUGUUUUUAGCACUACUACUACUAUUAGGCAAUAGCAAUCACUACAUUAAACC
rnacentral:lncRNA from 1 species